AUUGAACGCUGGCGGCAGGCCUAACACAUGCAAGUCGAGCGAGCGGCGCACGGGUGAGUAAUGUAUGGGGACUGCUCUAUAGAGGGGGAUAACUCCUGGAAACGGUGGCUAUAACCGCAUACUAUCCGAUAAAACAUACGGGAUUAGCUAGUAGCUGGGGUAAAGGCUCACCUAGGCGACGAUCUAUAGCGGGUCUGAGAGGAUGAUCAGCCACACUGUGACUGAGACACGGCCCAGACUCCUACGGAGGCAGCAGUGGGGAAUAUUGCGCAAUGGGCGCAAGCCUGAUGCAGCCAUGCCGCGUGUAUGAUGAAGGCCUUAGGGUUGUAAAAUACUUUCAGCUGGGAGGCGUUACCUGCUGAAGAAGCAACGGCUAACUCCGUGCCAGCCGCCGCGGUAAUUC
rnacentral:rRNA from 1 species